GUUGAGAUAGCUCAGCUGGUAGAGCAUCAGACUCUUAAACUCAGGGCCAUGGGUUCAAGCCCCAUGUUGGAUG